UUGAGUUUAGAGAGCAAGGAAGGGGGAAAGAGAGAAACAUCAGUUGGUUGCCUCCUGUACAUACCCUGACUGAAGAUCAAACCCACAACCUAGACCAAAUACCAAAAAAACUACUACAUUAUUUUUCUGGUUGCUUUUUCAAUAAUUCCUGAACAAAUCCACAUAACAUCCCUGCAGUCCAGUAGAAGAACCUCAUGAAAUGGACUCACCAAAAUCCUUUUCCGUUCUACUUGGAGAAUGUUUGAGAAAGUGCCAACUGGUGUCACCGAUCAUCAGAACUUUUCAACAUCUGAUUGUGUCUGAAAAUUAAUUCUCAUAAAACUAUCUGACUAUCUUUAACAGAUGAUACAUUCCUCUCUAAAUAGUUAGCACCUACAUUUGGCUCUGCAUACUGAAAUAGUAAGACUGUAUCAAAUGCUUUAGCUGCUGCAAUGAUGCCAUAACUAACUGCUACAUGUUCCCCCCUUUUUAGAGAAGGAUGUACAUUGGUAUAAACUCAGGCAUCCAUAUUCUUUUGUGGUGAGCAUUAGCCAGAAUGCCAUUUUUGUCCAGACUGUCACUGGGUGGUUUAUAAUUAGAAGGUUCACUCUAAAAUGAAAGUCUGAGGUUGAUGAGGCAGAACCAACUAUGUUUUAAAGGGAAAUUCUUAUUAGUACAAAAUAUUGGAGGAAAAACAAAAUCAAUGUUUACAGGCAGAUUAGCCAAAUUGUUCAUUAUUGUAGUAAACAUUGCAGAAAUAAAGGGGAUGGGCUAUAUUUGAAACAGUAUGGUCUAAUUUAUGUACAAUAAUUAUUCAUAGUAGCAUUCUCAUAGUUUGGGUAGUGACUCAUUUUGUUCUAUGUGACCUUUGUUCUCCAAGAUUGGCUGCUAUUAAAAAGUAAGAGCAAUAAAAAUAAAAUGGGACUUUACCAGGCUAACUU